GUAGCGGAAAGAAGAGUACGGCAGGUUUCUUUUGAUUGUGGCAGAAGGAGUCGUCAGCUGUAAGGGGGGCUUUGACUCUCUGUCUUAUUCUGGUUCAGCUUAAAACCCCGAGAAACAGCAACGGAUUCUACUUAACAAAGCGGGAGAUGGAUAACAGCAACCGAACUGUGAUCGUGACAGGUUUCGAGCCGUUUGGAGAACACACUGUCAACGCCAGCUGGGUAGCAGUCCAGGUAUUUUUU